GAUGAACGCUGGCGGCGUGCCUAAUACAUGCAAGUCGAGCGAACAGACGAGGAGCUUGCUCCUCUGACGUUAGCGGCGGACGGGUGAGUAACACGUGGAUAACCUACCUAUAAGACUGGGAUAACUUCGGGAAACCGGAGCUAAUACCGGAUAAUAUAUUGAACCGCAUGGUUCAAUAGUGAAAGACGGUUUUGCUGUCACUUAUAGAUGGAUCCGCGCCGCAUUAGCUAGUUGGUAAGGUAACGGCUUACCAAGGCGACGAUGCGUAGCCGACCUGAGAGGGUGAUCGGCCACACUGGAACUGAGACACGGUCCAGACUCCUACGGGAGGCAGCAGUAGGGAAUCUUCCGCAAUGGGCGAAAGCCUGACGGAGCGACGCCGCGUGAGUGAUGAAGGUCUUCGGAUCGUAAAACUCUGUUAUUAGGGAAGAACAAAUGUGUAAGUAACUAUGCACGUCUUGACGGUACCUAAUCAGAAAGCCACGGCUAACUACGU
rnacentral:rRNA from 1 species